GGAGAGGCAGGUUGAGAAAGAAGGGAUGAGUGGCACCAGGGCCCUGCCCCCACUGACUCACCGGAAGGGAAUGGAAACAGGGCGUGGGCUGAAGCUGCCAGGGCCCAGUCUCGCCCUCUUAGGGCCUCACCUGGCUCAGAGGGUUUCAGGAGACCACACUGUUGUCUUCAGCUGAAUGUGAAAUGCAUCCCAAACUCAGAGAAAUGGCUGUAUAAACAGAGACCGGGGGAGAGAUAGAGCCGAGAGCACAGGAACCAAGGGAGACGAGACGGGAGCUGCAGUGUCUAGAAGCCGCAGUGUUCAUGGAGUGGAUAUAUUAUCAUGGAGCUCACUGUCUUCUAUUGACGGGUAUGUAAGUUGUUUCCAAUCUCCUGCUAUUACCAAAACAAAACAAAACAAAA